ensembl:Y_RNA Y_RNA Y RNA
UGCUGGUCCGAGUGCACAGGUGUUUACAACCAAUUGAUCACAACCAAUUAGAUUUCUUUGUUCCUUCUCCAUUCCCAUUGCUUCACUUGACUGGCCUAUA